rnacentral:rRNA from 1 species
GACAGAGGUGCCGAGCGUUAGGCGGAAUCACUGGGCUUAAAGCGUGUGUAGGCGGGCGGGCAAGUACCUUGUGAAAUCCCACGGCUCAACCGUGGAACGGCUGGGUAUACUGCCUGUCUUGAGCCAACUAGGGGCGAGCGGAACAGACGGUGGAGCGGUGAAAUGCGUAGAUAUCGUCUGGAACGCCGAAGGUGAAAACAGCUCGCUGGGGUUGUGCUGACGCUGAGACACGAAAGCCAGGGAGCGAACGGG